UACGGGGGGGGCAAGCGUUGUUCGGAAUUACUGGGCGUAAAGGGCCAGUAGGCGGCCAACUAAGUCGGAUGUGAAAUCCCACGGCUCAACCGUGGAAGUGCAUUUGAAACUGCAGGGCUAGAGUCCUGGAGAGGAAGGUGGAAUGCUUGGUGUAGAGGUGAAAUUCGUAGAUAUCAAGCGGAACACCGGUGGCGAAGGCGGCCUUCUGGACAGUGACUGACGCUGAGACGCGAAAGCGUGGGGAGCAAACAGG
rnacentral:rRNA from 1 species